UUUCAAAACAUGGAAAUAAAAAGGCAAUAUCCUUGUUAUAAUACAACGAGUGUCAACAAAUCUGUUAUUUCUAUUAUAUGUAAAUUUAUUAACAAACAAAAUUUAAAAUAGUGCUGGGUCAUAGAAUAUUGACGUGCAUAUGAAAAGUUUUUUUUAUAUAAAAACAAGGAUUUGUAUAGUGAGAAGGAUUGGAAUCUCGUGGACUAUUUGCAUUGCCUGUAUUGAAAUAAGCUGCGUAUGAUGAGAUUUUGCGAGAUUUACCGUGAUGCAUCUCGUUAGUCGUUUUUCGUCCACCAUUACAAGUUGAAUUUAUGUCAUUUCCAGAUAAACUCGGCGUUUUAUGUAAAAGAUAUUUUGUGUUUUAAUAGUACUUCUCUCUGAAGACAAUAGUUCGUUAUGGCUGUGGAUAAUAAUCAGGAUACCAAAGUUAAAGAAAGGAGAUAUGUUUCUUUGUGGUGAAAGUGCAAGAAAUAACACCAUAUUCUGACUUACAAAAUGAUCACUCAUACUGCAUGCAAUACAGGGAAAGGCAUCAAACCAAGCCUCUAGAAGACAUACAUUUGUAGAAUGUAUUUUCUAUGAUGUACACAUCGCAGAGGAUACUUUAUGUUCCAAAAAAUCAAAUACAAAUUGUGUCAGCUCCGGAGACAAACUUAAGACGGAAGUUAACCAGAGUAUGAAGUCACCAUUAUCAAUAUGUAAAAUCCAACCAGUGACUAUAUAUUUAUUCAAAUAGUGUCAUGAAUGGAAUUAAAAAAGGACUUGGAAAAUUAACAUGUUUUAAUAUUGCUUUGUGUGUUAAUAAAAUUUGUCAGUAAGAACAAA